rnacentral:rRNA from 1 species
UACGAAGGGGGCGAGCGUUGUUCGGAAUUACUGGGCGUAAAGGGCGCGUAGGCGGCGACCCAAGUCAGAUGUGAAAGUCCUGGGCUUAACCUGGGGACUGCAUUUGAGACUGCAUUGCUAGAGUAUGGGAGAGGGAAGUGGAAUUUCCGGUGUAGCGGUGAAAUGCGUAGAUAUCGGAAGGAACAUCAGUGGCGAAAGCGACUUCCUGGACCAAUACUGACGCUCAUGUGCGAAAGCGUGGGGAGCAAACAGG